UGAAGUCGGAAUCGCUAGUAAUCGUGAAUCAGAAUGUCACGGUGAAUACGUUCCCGGGCCUUGUACACACCGCCCGUCACACCAUGGGAGUGGGCUGCAAAAGAAGUGGGUAGUUUAACCUUUCGAGGAGGACGCUCACCACUUUGUGGUUCAUGACUGGGGUGAAGUCGUAACAAGGUAGCCCUAGGGGAACCUGGGGCUGGAUCACCUCCUUA
rnacentral:rRNA from 1 species